GGGGCCGUAGCUCAGUUGGGAGAGCGCAUGACUGGCAGUCAUGAGGUCGGGAGUUCGAUCCUCCUCGGCUCCACCA
rnacentral:tRNA from 1 species